rnacentral:rRNA from 1 species
AGCGAACGCUGGCGGCAGGCUUAACACAUGCAAGUCGAACGCCCCGCAAGGGGAGUGGCAGACGGGUGAGUAACACGUGGGAACGUACCCCUUGGUUCGGAAUAACUUGGGGAAACUCAAGCUCAUACCGGCUACGCCCUUAUGGGGAAGGGUUUACGGCCGAAGGAUCGGCCCGGGUCUGAAUAGCUAGCUGGUGGGGUAAUGGCUCACCAAGGCGACGAUCAGGAGCUGGUCUGAGAGGAUGAUCGGCCACACGGGGACUGAGACACGGCCCAGACUCCUACGGGGGGCAGCAGGGGGGAAUAUUGGACAAGGGGGGCAACCCUGAGCCAGCCAUGCCGCGUGAGUGAUGAAGGCCUUAGGGUUGUAAAGCUCUUUUACCCGGGACGAUAAUGACUGUACCGGGAGAAUAAGCCCCGGCUAACUUCGUGCCAGCAGCCGCCGUAA